CCUCUUCCCUCUACUUCUUGUGAACCAAACAAGUCCUGAAGGAAUACUCUAUCACUGUAGAGAUUUAAAAAAUUAAUACUUUAAUUUAAAAUAUUAUGUAAAAUAAGAAUUAGAAAUGAAGAUUAAACUAUUGAUAUGUAAAAAAAAUAUUCAUAAACUUUACACAAACAUCUACUGCAUUAUUGAUUUUGCAACAAAGGUUGGAUUUUUUUGUAGAAUGUCACAAAUUUAGAAGUUCAUUGAUGAUUUUGUCCCUAGAUCGAAG
rnacentral:lncRNA from 1 species